UGGGGUGUCGCCAAGCGGUAAGGCAGCGGGUUUUGGUCUCGCCAUUCCUAGGUUCGAAUCCUAGCACCCCAGUCA
rnacentral:tRNA from 1 species